UACGAAGGGGGCUAGCGUUGUUCGGAAUCACUGGGCGUAAAGGGCUCGUAGGCGGCCAACUAAGUCCGACGUGAAAUCCCCAGGCUUAACCUGGGAACUGCGUCGGAUACUGGAUGGCUUGAAUUCGGGAGAGGGAUGCAGAAUUCCAGGUGUAGCGGUGAAAUGCGCAGAUAUCAGGAGGAACACCAAUGGCGAAGGCAGCUCGCUGGGACGUGACUGACGCUGAGACGCGAAAGCGUGGGGAGCAAACAGG
rnacentral:rRNA from 1 species